rnacentral:rRNA from 1 species
AUUGAACGCUGGCGGCAGGCCUAACACAUGCAAGUCGAACGGUAACAGGAAGCAGCUUGCUGCUUUGCUGACGAGUGGCGGACGGGUGAGUAAUGUCUGGGAAACUGCCCGAUGGAGGGGGAUAACUACUGGAAACGGUAGCUAAUACCGCAUAAUGUCGCAAGACCAAAGAGGGGGACCUUCGGGCCUCUUGCCAUCGGAUGUGCCCAGAUGGGAUUAGCUUGUUGGUGAGGUAACGGCUCACCAAGGCGACGAUCCCUAGCUGGUCUGAGAGGAUGACCAGCCACACUGGAACUGAGACACGGUCCAGACUCCUACGGGAGGCAGCAGUGGGGAAUAUUGCACAAUGGGCGCAAGCCUGAUGCAGCCAUGCCGCGUGUAUGAAGAAGGCCUUCGGGUUGUAAAGUACUUUCAGCGGGGAGGAAGGGGGUAAGGUUAAUAACCUUAGCCAUUGACGUUACCCGCAGAAGAAGCACCGGCUAACUCCGUGCCAGCAGCCGCGGUAAUACGGAGGGUGCAAGCGUUAAUCGGAAUUACUGGGCGUAAAGCGCACGCAGGCGGUCUGUCAAGUCGGAUGUGAAAUCCCCGGGCUCAACCUGGGAACUGCAUUCGAAACUGGCAGGCUUGAGUCUCGUAGAGGGGGGUAGAAUUCCAGGUGUAGCGGUGAAAUGCGUAGAGAUCUGGAGGAAUACCGGUGGCGAAGGCGGCCCCCUGGACGAAGACUGACGCUCAGGUGCGAAAGCGUGGGGAGCAAACAGGAUUAGAUACCCUGGUAGUCCACGCCGUAAACGAUGUCUAUUUGGAGGUUGUGCCCUUGAGGCGUGGCUUCCGGAGCUAACGCGUUAAAUAGACCGCCUGGGGAGUACGGCCGCAAGGUUAAAACUCAAAUGAAUUGACGGGGGCCCGCACAAGCGGUGGAGCAUGUGGUUUAAUUCGAUGCAACGCGAAGAACCUUACCUGGUCUUGACAUCCACAGAAUUUCUCAGAGAUGAGGAAGUGCCUUCGGGAACUGUGAGACAGGUGCUGCAUGGCUGUCGUCAGCUCGUGUUGUGAAAUGUUGGGUUAAGUCCCGCAACGAGCGCAACCCUUAUCCUUUGUUGCCAGCGAUUCGGUCGGGAACUCAAAGGAGACUGCCAGUGAUAAACUGGAGGAAGGUGGGGAUGACGUCAAGUCAUCAUGGCCCUUACGACCAGGGCUACACACGUGCUACAAUGGCAUAUACAAAGAGAAGCGACCUCGCGAGAGCAAGCGGACCUCAUAAAGUAUGUCGUAGUCCGGAUUGGAGUCUGCAACUCGACUCCAUGAAGUCGGAAUCGCUAGUAAUCGUGGAUCAGAAUGCCACGGUGAAUACGUUCCCGGGCCUUGUACACACCGCCCGUCACACCAUGGGAGUGGGUUGCAAAAGAAGUAGGUAGCUUAACCUUCGGGAGGGCGCUUACCACUUUGUGAUUCAUGACUGGGGUGA